rnacentral:tRNA from 1 species
GUUUUAAUAAUUUAACAUUAGUUUUAAUAAUUUAAUAUAAAAUAUUGAUCUUGUAAAUCAAAA